rnacentral:rRNA from 1 species
CCGGGCGCACGGGUGAGUAACACGUAUCCAACCUGCCGUCUACUCUUGGCCAGCCUUCUGAAAGGAAGAUUAAUCCAGGAUGGCAUCAUGAGUUCACAUGUCCGCAUGAUUAAAGGUAUUUUCCGGUAGACGAUGGGGAUGCGUUCCAUUAGAUAGUAGGCGGGGUAACGGCCCACCUAGUCAACGAUGGAUAGGGGUUCUGAGAGGAAGGUCCCCCACAUUGGAACUGAGACACGGUCCAA